rnacentral:rRNA from 1 species
GAUCCAGCGGAGGGAUCAUUA